rnacentral:rRNA from 1 species
AGCGGAUGAAGGGAGCUUGCUCCUGGAUUCAGCGGCGGACGGGUGAGUAAUGCCUAGGAAUCUGCCUGGUAGUGGGGGAUAACGUUCCGAAAGGAACGCUAAUACCGCGUACGUCCUACGGGAGAAAGCAGGGGACCUUCGGGCCUUGCGCUAUCAGAUGAGCCUAGGUCGGAUUAGCUAGUUGGUGAGGUAAUGGCUCACCAAGGCGACGAUCCGUAACUGGUCUGAGAGGAUGAUCAGUCACACUGGAACUGAGACACGGUCCAGACUCCUACGGGAGGCAGCAGUGGGGAAUAUUGGACAAUGGGCGAAAGCCUGAUCCAGCCAUGCCGCGUGUGUGAAGAAGGUCUUCGGAUUGUAAAGCACUUUAAGUUGGGAGGAAGGGCUGUAGGCUAAUAUCCUGCGGUUUUGACGUUACCAACAGAAUAAGCACCGGCUAACUUCGUGCCAGCAGCCGCGGUAAUACGAAGGGUGCAAGCGUUAAUCGGAAUUACUGGGCGUAAAGCGCGCGUAGGUGGUUCGUUAAGUUGGAUGUGAAAGCCCCGGGCUCAACCUGGGAACUGCAUCCAAAACUGGCGAGCUAGAGUACGGUAGAGGGUAGUGGAAUUUCCUGUGUAGCGGUGAAAUGCGUAGAUAUAGGAAGGAACACCAGUGGCGAAGGCGACUACCUGGACUGAUACUGACACUGAGGUGCGAAAGCGUGGGGAGCAAACAGGAUUAGAUACCCUGGUAGUCCACGCCGUAAACGAUGUCAACUAGCCGUUGGAAUCCUUGAGAUUUUAGUGGCGCAGCUAACGCAU